rfam:Pteropus alecto contig87260, whole genome shotgun sequence.
GUCUACGGCCAUGCUACUCUGAACAAGCCUGAUCCCGUCUGAUCUCAGAAGCUAAGUAGGGUCGGGCCUGGUUAGUACUUGGAUAGGAGGCCACCUAGGAAGAACAGGUGCUGUAGGCG